rnacentral:rRNA from 1 species
UACAGAGGUCUCGAGCGUUGUUCGGAUUCAUUGGGCGUAAAGGGCGCGUAGGCGGCGGGGUAAGUCUGGUGUGAAAUCUAGGAGCUCAACUCCUAAACUGCACUGGAUACUGCUCUGCUAGAGGACUGGAGAGGAGACUGGAAUUUACGGUGUAGCGGUGAAAUGCGUAGAUAUCGUAAGGAAGACCAGUGGCGAAGGCGGGUCUCUGGACAGUUCCUGACACUGAGACACGAAGGCCAGGGGAGCAAACGGG